AGACCCGAAACCCGGUGAUCUAGCCAUGGGCAGGUUGAAGGUUGGGUAACACUAACUGGAGGACCGAACCGACUAAUGUUGAAAAAUUAGCGGAUGACCUGUGGCUGGGGGUGAAAGGCCAAUCAAACCGGGAGAUAGCUGGUUCUCCCCGAAAGCUAUUUAGGUAGCGCCUCGUGAAUUCAUCUCCGGGGGUAGAGCACUGUUUCGGCUAGGGGGCCAUCCCGGCUUACCAACCCGAUGCAAACUGCGAAUACCGGAGAAUGUUAUCACGGGAGACACACGGCGGGUGCUAACGUCCGUCGUGAAGAGGGAAACAACCCAGACCGCCAGCUAAGGUCCCAAAGUCAUGGUUAAGUGGGAAACGAUGUGGGAAGGCCCAGACAGCCAGGAUGUUGGCUUAGAAGCAGCCAUCAUUUAAAGAAAGCGUAAUAGCUCACUGGUCGAGUCGGCCUGCGCGGAAGAUGUAACGGGGCUAAACCAUGCACCGAAGCUGCGGCAGCGACACUCAGGUGUUGUUGGGUAGGGGAGCGUUCUGUAAGCCUGCGAAGGUGGCCUGUGAGGGUUGCUGGAGGUAUCAGAAGUGCGAAUGCUGACAUAAGUAACGAUAAAGCGGGUGAAAAGCCCGCUCGCCGGAAGACCAAGGGUUCCUGUCCAACGUUAAUCGGGGCAGGGUGAGUCGACCCCUAAGGCGAGGCCGAAAGGCGUAGUCGAUGGGAAACGGGUUAAUAUUCCCGUACUUGGUGUUACUGCGAAGGGGGGACGGAGAAGGCUAUGUUGGCCGGGCGACGGUUGUCCCGGUUUAAGCGUGUAGGUGUGUGUUCCAGGUAAAUCCGGUUCACUUUAACACUGAGGCGUGAUGACGAGGCACUACGGUGCUGAAGCAACAAAUGCCCUGCUUCCAGGAAAAGCCUCUAAGCAUCAGGUAACAUCAAAUCGUACCCCAAACCGACACAGGUGGUCAGGUAGAGAAUACCAAGGCGCUUGAGAGAACUCGGGUGAAGGAACUAGGCAAAAUGGUGCCGUAACUUCGGGAGAAGGCACGCUGACAUGUAGGUGAAGUGAUUUACUCAUGGAGCUGAAGUCAGUCGAAGAUA
rnacentral:rRNA from 1 species